rnacentral:rRNA from 1 species
UGGUCUACGCAGUGAACGAUGGUUACUAGCUGUUUGGAUCAAUUGCGAUCUGAGUGGUUAAGCGAAAGUGAUAAGUAACCCACCUGGGGAGUACGUUCGCAAGAAUGAAACUCAAAGGAAUUGACGGGGGCCCGCACAAGCGGUGGAGCAUGUGGUUUAAUUCGAUGAUACGCAAGGAACCUUACCAGGGCUUAAAUGCAGUUUGACAGGGGUGGAAACAUCUUUUUCUUCGGACAAAUUGCAAGGUGCUGCAUGGUUGUCGUCAGCUCGUGCCGUGAGGUGUCAGGUUAAGUCCUAUAACGAGCGCAACCCCUUUGGUUAGUUACCAGCAUGUAAUGAUGGGGACUCUAGCCAUACUGCCAGUGUAAACUGUGAGGAAGGUGGGGAUGACGUCAAAUCAUCACGGCCCUUACGUCCUGGGGCUACACACGUGCUACAAUGGUAGGGGACAGAGAGCAGCCACUACGUGAGUAGGGAGCGAAUCUACAAACCCUAUCACAGUUCGGGAUC